CGGGGCGUAGCUCAGCUUGGCUAGAGCGCUGCGUUCGGGACGCAGAGGUCGCAGGUUCAAAUCCUGUCUCUCCGA
rnacentral:tRNA from 1 species